GACGAACGUUGGCGGCGUGCCUAACACAUGCAAGUCGAGGGGUAGCAAUACCACUGGCGCACGGGUGAGUAACGCGUAGAUUAUCUGCCCCUAUCACAGACAUAACGUCGGGAAACUGACGCUAAUAUCUGAUGAGGCAAUUCAUUGUCAAAGGAGCGAUCCGGAUAGGGAUGAGUCUGCGUCUGAUUAGCUUGUUGGUAGUGUAACGGACUACCAAGGCGAUGAUCAGUAACUGGUCUGAGAGGACGAUCAGUCACACUGGAACUGAGACACGGUCCAGACUCCUACGGGAGGCAGCAGUGAGGAAUAUUGGUCAAUGGGGGCAACCCUGAACCAGCGACGCCGCGUGAAGGAUGACAGGGCUUUGCCCCGUAAACUUCUGUCGGGAGGGAAAAAAGGACUGUUUGGCGGUCUGGGAUUGUACCUCUAAAGGAAGCACCGGCUAACUACGUG
rnacentral:rRNA from 1 species